GUGCCAGCCGCCGCGGUAAUACGAAGGGGGCUAGCGUUGUUCGGAAUUACUGGGCGUAAAGGGCGCGUAGGCGGCCUGUUAAGUUAGGAGUGAAAGCCCCGGGCUCAACCUGGGAAUUGCUCUUAAUACUGGCAGGCUUGAGUUCCGGAGAGGAUGGUGGAAUUCCCAGUGUAGAGGUGAAAUUCGUAGAUAUUGGGAAGAACACCGGUGGCGAAGGCGGCCAUCUGGACGGACACUGACGCUGAGGCGCGAAAGCGUGGGGAGCAAACAGG
rnacentral:rRNA from 1 species